AACGAACGCUGGCGGCAGGCUUAACACUUGCAAGUCGAACGCCCCGCAAGGGGAGUGGCAGACGGGUGAGUAACGCGUGGGAAUCUACCCAGUUCUACGGAACAACUGAGGGAAACUUCAGCUAAUACCGUAUACGCCCUACGGGGGAAAGAUUUAUCGGAAUUGGAUGAGCCCGCGUUGGAUUAGCUAGUUGGUGAGGUAACGGCUCACCAAGGCGACGAUCCACAGCUGGUCUGAGAGGAUGAUCAGCCACACUGGGACUGAGACACGGCCCAGACUCCUACGGGAGGCAGCAGUGGGGAAUAUUGGACAAUGGGCGCAAGCCUGAUCCAGCCAUGCCGCGUGAGUGAUGAAGGCCUUAGGGUUGUAAAGCUCUUUCAGUGGGGACGAUAAUGACGGUACCCACAGAAGAAGCCCCGGCUAACUUCGUGCCAGCCGCCGCGGUAACAU
rnacentral:rRNA from 1 species